UGAAGUCAUUUCCUGCCUCAGUGUCAGUGAAUCGGGUACCUUCCUAGGCCUAGGCACGGUCACUGGCUCUGUCGCCAUCUACAUAGCUUUCUCUCUCCAGCGCCUGUAUUAUGUGAAGGAGGCCCAUGGCAUUGUGGUGACAGAUGUGACCUUUCUACCUGAGAAGGGUUGUGGGCCAAAGCUUCUUGGGCCCCAUGAAACUGCUCUUUUCUCUGUGGCUGUGG